rnacentral:rRNA from 1 species
AUUGAACGCUGGCGGCAUGCUUUACACAUGCAAGUCGAACGGUAACAGGGUGCUUGCACCGCUGACGAGUGGCGAACGGGUGAGUAAUACAUCGGAAUGUACCCAGUAAUGGGGGAUAACGCUUCGAAAGGAGUGCUAAUACCGCAUACGCCCUGAGGGGGAAAGUGGGGGACCGCAAGGCCUCACGUUAUUGGAGCAGCCGAUGGCUGAUUAGCUAGUUGGUGAGGUAAAGGCUCACCAAGGCGACGAUCAGUAGCGGGUCUUAGAGGACGAUCCGCCACACGGGAACUGAGACACGGUCCAGACUCCUACGGGAGGCAGCAGUGGGGAAUCUUGGACAAUGGGCGAAAGCCUGAUCCAGCAAUGCCGCGUGCGUGAAGAAGGCCUUCGGGUUGUAAAGCGCUUUGUGCAGGGAAGAAAAAAUCGACGUGAAUAUCGUCGGUCUUGACGGUACCUGAAGAAUAAGCACCGGCUAACUCUGUGCCAGCAGCCGCAGUAACAC